CCCCCCCUAAGGCGAGGCCGAGAGGCGUAGUCGAUGGGAAAUUGGUUAAUAUUCCAAUACUUCUAUGUAAUGCGAUGAGAGGACGGAGAAGGUUAAGUCAGCCUGGCGUUGGUUGUCCAGGUGGAAGGUUGUAGGCAUGUAUCUUAGGCAAAUCCGGGGUACUCUAUGCUGAGAACUGAUAGCAAGCUGUACUUGUACAGUGAAGUGGCUGAUACCAUGCUUCCAGGAAAAGUCUCUAAGCUUCAGUUACACAGGAAUCGUACCCGAAACCGACACAGGUGGUCAGGUCGAGUAGACCAAAGCGCUUGAGAGAACUCUGCUGAAGGAACUAGGCAAAAUGGUACCGUAACUUCGGGAGAAGGUACGCUGCCGACGGUGAUAGGAUUUACUCCUUGAGCUAUUGGCAGCCACAGAAACCAGGCCCCUGCAACUGUUUAUUAAAAACAUAGCACUCUGCAAACACGAAAGUGGACGUAUAGGGUGUGAUGCCUGCCCGGUGCUGGAAGGUUAAUUGAUGGGGUUAGCGUAAGCGAAGCUCUUGAUCGAAGCCCCAGUAAACGGCGGCCGUAACUAUAACGGUCCUAAGGUAGCGAAAUUCCUUGUCGGGUAAGUUCCGACCUGCACGAAUGGCAUAAUGAUGGGGGCGCUGUCUCCAGCAGAGACUCAGUGAAAUCGAAUUCGCCGUGAAGAUGCGGUGUACCCGCGGCUAGACGGAAAGACCCCGUGAACCUUUACUGCAGCUUGACAUUGAACUUUGAUCUUACUUGUGUAGGAUAGGUGGGAGGCUUUGAAACCGAGACGCUAGUUUCGGUGGAGCCAAUCUUGAAAUACCACCCUGGUAGUAUUGAGGUUCUAACUCUGUCCCGUUAUCCGGGACGAGGACCAUGUCUGGUGGGUAGUUUGACUGGGGCGGUCUCCUCCUAAAGAGUAACGGAGGAGUACGAAGGUGCGCUCAGCGUGGUCGGAAAUCACGCGUAGAGUAUAAAGGCAAAAGCGCGCUUAACUGCGAGACCCACAAGUCGAGCAGGUACGAAAGUAGGUCUUAGUGAUCCGGUGGUUCUGUAUGGAAGGGCCAUCGCUCAACGGAUAAAAGGUACUCUGGAUAACAGGCUGAUACCGCCCAAGAGUUCAUAUCGACGGCGGUGUUUGGCACCUCGAUGUCGGCUCAUCUCAUCCUGGGGCUGAAGCAGGUCCCAAGGGUAUGGCUGUUCGCCAUUUAAAGAGGUACGCGAGCUGGGUUUAGAACGUCGUGAGACAGUUCGGUCCCUAUCUACCGUGGGCGCUGGAAAUUUGAGAGGAUCUGCUCCUGGUACGAGAGGACCAGAGUGGACGAACCUCUGGUGUACCGGUUGUGACGCCAGUCGCAUCGCCGGGUAGCUAUGUUCGGAAGGGAUAACCGCUGAAAGCAUCUAAGCGGGAAGCCUACCUCAAGAUAAGAUUUCCCUAGGACUUUAUGUCCUCUAAAGAGCCGUUGAAGACUACGACGUUGAUAGGUUGGAUGUGGAAGCAUAGUGAUAUGUGAAGCUGACCAAUACUAAUUGCUCGUGAGGCUUGACU
rnacentral:rRNA from 1 species